UAAAAUAAUCAUAAAUAUAUCUUAAAUAAAUCUCAACCAAAUUCUAAAUUAUUACUAAUUAAAAUCCUAAUAUACUUCAAUAUAAUCCUAGGCCAAAUCCUAACUAAAUCCUAACUAAAUCUUAAAUCUUAAAUCAAAUUCUAAACAAAUUCUAAACUCUAAAUCAAAUCUUAACCAAAGCUUAUACAAAUUCCAAAUCCUAAACAAAUUCUAGACCUUGAAUCAAAUCCUAACAAAAUACUAACCAAAUCCUAAAUUCUAAACCAAACCUUAGACAAAUCUUAGACUCUAAAUUAAAUCCUAAAUCCUAAAUUAAACUCUAAUUAAAUCCUAAUCAAAUCUUAAAUCCUAAAUCAAAUAUUAAUCAAAUCCUAAAUCCAAAAUCAAAUCCUAAUCAAAUCUUAAAUCUUAAAUCAAACUCUAACCAAAUUCUAAUCCUAACCAAAUUCUAAAUUCAAAGAUAGUUUAGAACUUCAAUAUCUUCUCAUUAAACCAUUGAUCUUAUUUCAAUUUUUAUACAUCUUUUAAUCUUUUAGUUAUAAAUAAGUAUAACAAAUUUGAAGACAAUCGUACUUACCAAAUAGAAAAAAAAUCCUAAAAUUUACUUGGAUGUUGGAUAGCCUCCUUCUCUAAUCUUGAUGCUGAUCUUCCAAUACUAGCAUCCCUCUUUUUCUCCAUUCAAUUGAUUUCAAACUUCUUAUAUAUGUGAAAU
rnacentral:lncRNA from 1 species